UGUUUUAGUCAGUAUUUUUAGAAGUGGAACCAACACAGAGAUGAACUGUAGACGUUUACCAGUAGACAUUUGAUGACUGUUACCCUGGCCUAUGUACCUCUUGGUUUCUGGAGAAAGGAUCACAUAUAUACACAGGUGAUUCAGCUUAUAGGUAUACACUAGGAUUCAUCACAUCAAGGCUUGGAAUUUCCCUCUCCUCAAGCUUUGGCUCAACCAUCACAGAAGCCUCCGCCGUGGCUGUAAAAUCAGAUUCCGCCUCCUGGUAGAAUAAGUGGAACAGAAUAAGAUGUACAACUUCAAAGGAAGGUUUUUAGUAGUGUUUCCCAACCAGGGUGCCUGUAGCUGUUGCUAAACUACAACUCCCAGCACAAAGCCCCAAUUUGGAAAAGUUUUUUGGGGGAUUAUUUUUUAGGACUACUGGUUAAAGACAGUUUUAUUAUUUUUCACACUUGUUUUUAGGGAUAUUGGGUACAUUAUCAUUGUUUUUAGAGCUGUUUUGGUGCAGCACUGCACCUCGGGCAAUUUUUUAGACUUUUUGGUUUACACUUAAAAAAAAAAAGACUUAGCUUAGGUUUUUGGUGUAUGUGAAGAGUGACAUUUCAGAAAAUGUGACCUGCACAAAAUUUAUCAAAUGCCCAGCAAUUUUUUAUUUGGCGCAGUCAAGCAAAAAAAUUAAAAAUAAAUAAACGAACUACAUCACACAUAUCUAAGUAAAUGCCCCCAAAUAUUAUGAUGAAAUGUGUGACUUUCAAGAGAUUUUUUUUUUUUAUUGCAAUUUAGACAGGAAUUAAAGGGGUAUUCCAGCCAAAUACAUCUUAUCAUAGGGGAUAAGAUGUCUGAUCGCGAGGGGCCCGCGUCUCCAUCUCACCUGCAUUCUAUGCGGGGCUGUGUCUCCAGUCUCGGAAACAUCUUUGUUUACGGGACUGGAGACGUGAUGUCACACCACGUCCUCUCCAUUCAUGUCUAUUGGAGGGGGCAUGACAGCCGUCACGCCCCCUUCCAUAGACUUGCAUUGAGGGGGCAGGGUGUGACAUCACAAGGGGCAGAGCCGUGAUGUCAUGAUACUCCGGCCCCUGUAUCGUCAGACAUCAUGCACGGAGCAAACUUUGCUCCGUGCAGUGAUGACUCGGGGUGCUGAUGGAGAGAUUGCGGUGUCCCCAGCAGCGAGACCCCCAUGAUCAGACAUCUUAUCCCCUAUCCUUUGGAUGUCUAGGGUGGAGUACCCCUUUAAGGCUUUGGAUAUGAGAAUGUUUUUAAAAUGUGUGUUGUUUUCCGUUUUUGUGCAAUUGUUAACUCUGAAUUGAUUAGAAAUUGUAAUAUGGAAUAUAAAGUUUUAUAAAGACUAUUUAAAAAUAUAAAAAUAAAAAGCAGA